rnacentral:misc_RNA from 1 species
UGGUUCCGGCAUCGAUGAAGAACGCAGCGAAAUGCGAUAAGUAAUGUGAAUUGCAGAAUCCAGUGAACCAUCGAAUCUUUGAACGCACAUUGCGCCCCCCGGCACUCCGGGGGGCAUGCCCGUCCGAGCGUCAUUGCCCCUUCAAGCCCCCAGGCUUGGUCCUAGGCCUGGUCCCCCGGGGCAUCCCUGGGGGGCCAGCCCCAAAAGCAGUGGCGGCCCGGGGGCGACCUCCAGCGCGAUGGAAAAGCAAAACACCUCCGCUGCGGGUGUUGCCCCGGGCCGGCGCCAGGCAAAACACGGCCAAAACCGUACACACUUUGACCUCGGAUCGGGCAGGGAUACCCGCUGA